rnacentral:rRNA from 1 species
GAUGAACGCUGGCGGCGUGCCUAACACAUGCAAGUCGAACGAUGAAACCGCCUCCGGGCGGACAUGAAGUGGCGAACGGGUGAGUAACACGUGACCGACCUGCCCCCCGCCCAGGGACAGCCCCCCGAAAGGGGGAUUAAUACCUGGUACUCCGGAAGCGGCGCAUGCCGCCCCCGGGAAAGCUCUGGCGGCGGGGGAUGGGGUCGCGGCCCAUCAGGUAGACGGCGGGGCAGAGGCCCACCGUGCCGACGACGGGUAGCCGGGUUGAGAGACCGACCGGCCACAUUGGGACUGAGAGACGGCUCAGACUCCUACGGGAGGCAGCAGUGGGGAAUUUUGCGCAAUGGGGGCAACCCUGACGCAGCAACGCCGCGUGCGGGACGAAGGCGUCCGCGUCGUAAACCGCUUUCAGCGGGGAACACUUUUCGAGGGUACCCGCAGAAGAAGCCCCGGCUAAAUACGUGCCAGCAGCCGCGGUAA